rnacentral:rRNA from 1 species
UUCCUCUAUGAAAUGGAGGUAAGGCCUGCUCACUGAAUAAUUAAAGAGCCGCAGUAUUCUAACUGUGCUAAGGUAGCAUAAUCAUUUGUCUUUUAAUUGGAGACUGGUAUGAAUGGCUAAACGAGAAAUUGACUUUUUUUAUUAUAAUAUUUGAACUUUAUUUUUUAGUGAAAAAGCUAAAAUUUUUCAGAAAGACGAGAAGACCCUAUAGAGUUUUAUACAAAAAAAUUUUUUUUCUAAUUAGAUUUUCCUAGGUUAAAAAUUUAUAUGUAUUUUGUUGGGGCGACAUUUAGAUAAAAAAAACUCUUUAUUUUUGAAACUUUUAUAUAAGAUUUGUUUGAACCUUUAAAAAAGAUUAAAAGAAAAAAUUACCUUAGGGAUAACAGCGUAAUCUAUCCUGAGAGUUCUAAUCGACGGAAAGGUUUGCGACCUCGAUGUUGGACUAAAAUUUAGGUAGGGUGCAGCAGCUCUACUUUAAGGUCUGUUCGACCUUUAAAAUUUUACGUGAUCUGAGUUCAGACCG